GACGAACGCUGGCGGCGUGCCUAAUACAUGCAAGUCGAACGCAGUGGGGACGGGUGAGUAACACGUGGGUAACCUCCCAUCAGAGGGGAUAACACUUGGAAACAGGUGCUAAACCGAUACUGAUGGAUGGACCCGCGGGGCAUUAGCUAGUUGGUGAGGUAAAGGCUCACCAAGGCCAAGAUGCAUAGCCGGACUGAGAGGGUGAUCGGCCACACGGGGACUGAGACACGGCCCAGAAUCCUACGGGAGGCAGCAGUGGGGAAUCUUCGGCAAUGGACGAAAGUCUGACCGAGCCAUGCCGCGUGAGUGAAGAAGGUCUUCGGAUCGUAAAGCUCUGUUGUUAGAGAGGCGGUAUCUAACCAGAAAGCCACGGCUAACUACGUGCCAGCAGCCGCGGUAAUUC
rnacentral:rRNA from 1 species